GACGAACGCUGGCGGCGUGCCUAACACAUGCAAGUCGAGCGGGAAGCUUUUAAUUGAGACUUCGGUUGAUUUUAUGAGUGGAGAGCGGCGGACGGGUGAGUAACGCGUGAGUAACCUGCCUUCAAGAGGGGGAUAACACAGAGAAAUUUGUGCUAAUACCGCAUGACACCGUAGUGUCGCAUGACACAUCGGUCAAAGAUUUAUCGCUUGAAGAUGGACUCGCGUCUGAUUAGCUAGUUGGUGAGGUAACGGCUCACCAAGGCGACGAUCAGUAGCCGAACUGAGAGGUUGAUCGGCCACAUUGGGACUGAGACACGGCCCAGACUCCUACGGGAGGCAGCAGUGGGGAAUAUUGGGCAAUGGGGGCAACCCUGACCCAGCAACGCCGCGUGAAGGAGAAGGCUUCGGGUUGUAAACUUCUUUUACCAGGGACGAAGACGUGACGGUACCUGGAGAAAAGCCACGGCUAACUACGUG
rnacentral:rRNA from 1 species